GUUCGCAUCAGGGCCAGACGUAUUCCCUGAUCUGAUCCGAUUGCGCAAUGGAAUAAGGAGGGAGUUGGGCUCAGCUUGUUCUCUAUUCAUCACCCAGGAGCCUGUCUUCCCCCCCUCCCUCCCACUCAGCCAGCCACACCUGGAAGAGCUUAAAGCUCGGCCUGGAGCACACAGAGCCCCACAGCGUCUUCCUGGCCGGCAGCAGCACCACCAUGAAAUCCAGCAGCAGAAGCUUCUGCCUCCUCCUCCUCCUCCUGUCCCUGGUGGGGCUCCUCGCCGCCUCGGCACAGCAGCUGGACACGCCCAGACAGAACCUUACAGUUGCUGCGCAAAAAGCUGGCACGUGUCCUGACGCAGAGGAGGCGAAGACGAACAGUGGGAACUGCACAGAAGAGUGCCAGUCGGACGCCAGCUGCCACGGGGUCGAGAAGUGCUGCCGGACGGGCUGUGGGGCCACUUGCCGAAUCCCAAAUGAUAAGCCUGGUUCCUGCCCGCAGGCUAUUCACGGGAUCUCAGCGCUGGGCCUUUGCAAGGAGGAGUGCAGAAAGGAUUCAGAGUGCCGGAGCACCAGGAAAUGCUGCGAGACUGGCUGUGGGAUGUGGACCUGUGUCCUUCCCAGGUCCUGAGGGGCAACAUAGGAGAUGCUGAGACAUUGAAGCUAACAAUUCAUAAAUAGGCACCAAAAGGUGCUGUAGCUGAAGAUAUUGCCACUCAGCACUAACAGAUGCAGGCCGGACUCCGUGGAGCAGCUGAGGUGGGAGACUCUCCAGUAGAGCCCAUCAGCCCUAAAGACAUGAUGAUGACAGUGGUCUCCUCCCUGCCCAGCCCCCGCUGCUCUGCUUUCAGCACCUGGUCACUUCUCCACCUCCCACCUGUCGGAGCCCCCCACCCACUUUUGCAGUAAAACCCUCACUUUGCACAGCAGCCCCUGUUCUUGUGGCUUUGCUGUUGCUCUGCCCUUUGGACCACCUGUCCCCCUUGCUUUGUGCAUGCACAGAACGCCUGCCACAUUUUGGGAAAGCCAGAGAGGGGAGGGGCAUCAGCUCCUUCCCCUGGCUUUGUGGUGCCACCUUCCAUUCCUUCAUCCUGGUCCAAAAUAAAAGUAAAGCCAGUUGCUCAGAUCAUAUCCCUAAAUGUAUACUACAAGCAAACACAUUUAAGACACUGCUUGAAGGCUGAACAAUAAAAUUAAGAGUUUGUCAUUCUGUUCUAUUCUAUCUAUAAAUUCUGUGCUGUGUAUUUCCUCCUAAUUAUGGUAUUAAUUGUUAAAGAAGCUCUUCACAAUGUAAACUGCAGGUAGCUCAGGUUUAGCAAACCUAUGUUAACUUGCAAUGAGCUGCAUUUUCACAAAGCUUGCAGAGGAGUGGGGGGGGGGAGGACUAAUAGUUCUGUGCAUCUUCACAGCAUCUUCACAUAGCAGGUAGCCAUCCCACCUCCUGAGGGUGUGCUGGCCCUUUUCUUCUUCCUCUGGUCACCCCCUUGAGCACAGCUUUUACCGCCUGCUGUCCUACUCGCACGGUCAGCCUGGCAACUGUCAGGAGGGAAGUUGCAGAAGAAGGAAAGGGAUCCCGCCCUCCCCACAGUAAGAUCUGCUUGUUAUGACCCAAUAUUUUAUUCCUCAUUAGAUGGAUGCAGACAAACUGGAACA